AACUGAUUAAUUUAAAUAAAUCUUCCCACAGCAUUUAAAGAGAUGCUUUCGGCACCUCAGGGAAAAGAUAAUGCCAAGCUCAUUCAAUGCAAGGAAACGGUGCAGAGAAGCUCGUCGGAUUGUAGCGAGAGGCAGCGAACUUUACAAUCGCGCCUCUCUGUUCCUGACAUCGCAUCAGAUUCUUCGAAGCGACAAGUUCAAUAUCUUCAUCCUUCUUCCACAACUGAGCGAGUGAAGAAAGCCUUGAACCGGUUAAGUGUCAUUGGAACCCUUUCAAGGAAUACCAAGUAA